rnacentral:rRNA from 1 species
UGGUGCAUGGUUGUCGUCAGCUCGUGUCGUGAGAUGUUGGGUUAAGUCCCGCAACGAGCGCAACCCUCGACCUUAGUUGCCAGCAUUCAGUUGGGCACUCUAAGGUGACUGCCGGCUAAAAGUCGGAGGAAGGUGGGGAUGACGUCAAAUCAUCAUGCCCCUUAUGACCUGGGCUACACACGUGCUACAAUGGGCGGUACAAAGGGUCGCGAACCCGCGAGGGGGAGCCAAUCCCAAAAAGCCGCUCUCAGUUCGGAUUGCAGGCUGCAACUCGCCUGCAUGAAGUCGGAAUCGCUAGUAAUCGCGGAUCAGCACGCCGCGGUGAAUACGUUCCCGGGCCUU